GUCGAGCGAAUCGAUGGGAGCUUGCUCCCUGAGAUUAGCGGCGGACGGGUGAGUAACACGUGGGCAACCUGCCUAUAAGACUGGGAUAACUUCGGGAAACCGGAGCUAAUACCGGAUACGUUCUUUUCUCGCAUGAGAGAAGAUGGAAAGACGGUUUCGGCUGUCACUUAUAGAUGGGCCCGGCGGCGCAUUAGCUAGUUGGUGAGGUAAUGGCUCACCAAGGCGACGAUGCGUAGCCGACCUGAGAGGGUGAUCGGCCACACUGGGACUGAGACACGGCCCAGACUCCUACGGGAGGCAGCAGUAGGGAAUCUUCCGCAAUGGACGAAAGUCUGACGGAGCAACGCCGCGUGAACGAAGAAGGCCUUCGGGUCGUAAAGUUCUGUUGUUAGGGAAGAACAAGUACCAGAGUAACUGCUGGUACC
rnacentral:rRNA from 2 species